UACGUAGGUGGCAAGCGUUGUCCGGAUUUACUGGGCGUAAAGGGUGCGUAGGCGGACCUUUAAGUGAGAUGUGAAAUCCCCGAGCUUAACUUGGGGGCUGCAUUUCAAACUGGAGGUCUAGAGUGCAGGAGAGGAGAGUGGAAUUCCUAGUGUAGCGGUGAAAUGCGUAGAGAUUAGGAAGAACACCAGUGGCGAAGGCGACUCUCUGGACUGUAACUGACGCUGAGGCACGAAAGCGUGGGGAGCAAACACG
rnacentral:rRNA from 1 species